rnacentral:rRNA from 1 species
AACGCUAGCUACAGGCUUAACACAUGCAAGUCGAGGGGCAGCAUUGGAGUAGCAAUACUUUAGAUGGCGACCGGCGCACGGGUGAGUAACACGUAUCCAACCUGCCGCUUACUCGGGGAUAGCCUUUCGAAAGAAAGAUUAAUACCCGAUGGUAUAAAGAGUUCGCAUGUUCUCUUUAUUAAAGAAUUUCGGUAAGCGAUGAGGAUGCGUUCCAUUAGAUUGUUGGCGGGGUAACGGCCCACCAAGUCUACGAUGGAUAGGGGUUCUGAGAGGAAGGUCCCCCACAUUGGAACUGAGACACGGUCCAAACUCCUACGGGAGGCAGCAGUGAGGAAUAUUGGUCAAUGGGCGAGAGCCUGAACCAGCCAAGUAGCGUGAAGGAUGACUGCCCUAUGGGUUGUAAACUUCUUUUAUAAGGGAAUAAAGUGAGGGACGUGUCCCUUUUUGUAUGUACCUUAUGAAUAAGGAUCGGCUAAUUCCGUGCCAGCAGCCGCGGUAAUACGGAAGGUCCGGGCGUUAUCCGGAUUUAUUGGGUUUAAAGGGAGCGUAGGCCGGAGAUUAAGCGUGUUGUGAAAUGUAGGCGCUCAACGUCUGCACUGCAGCGCGAACUGGUUUCCUUGAGUACGCACAAAGUGGGCGGAAUUCGUGGUGUAGCGGUGAAAUGCUUAGAUAUCACGAAGAACUCCGAUUG